rnacentral:rRNA from 1 species
AUUGAACGCUGGCGGCAUGCCUUACACAUGCAAGUCGAACGGUAACGCGGGGCAACCUGGCGACGAGUGGCGAACGGGUGAGUAAUGUAUCGGAACGUGCCCAGUUGUGGGGGAUAACUGCUCGAAAGAGCAGCUAAUACCGCAUACGACCUGAGGGUGAAAGCGGGGGAUCGCAAGACCUCGCGCAAUUGGAGCGGCCGAUAUCAGAUUAGGUAGUUGGUGGGGUAAAGGCCCACCAAGCCAACGAUCUGUAGCUGGUCUGAGAGGACGACCAGCCACACUGGGACUGAGACACGGCCCAGACUCCUACGGGAGGCAGCAGUGGGGAAUUUUGGACAAUGGGCGCAAGCCUGAUCCAGCCAUGCCGCGUGCGGGAAGAAGGCCUUCGGGUUGUAAACCGCUUUUGUCAGGGAAGAAACGCUCUGGGUUAAUACCUCGGGGUAAUGACGGUACCUGAAGAAUAAGCACCGGCUAACUACGUGCCAGCAGCCGCCGUAACAC